GAGGUCCCUCAGCUCUUAUGGGUGGAGCCAGGAUUUGAACCUGGACUUAUGGCUCUAAAUUGCAGGGGGUUCCGCUGCAGAAAUCGUCCUUUGGGAAGCCUUCCUCCGCUUUGAGCCUGUUUUCCUGUCAACUGGGUUUGUUGGGAUGCGUGUUUGUCAACAUCGAUCACUGCCUCAAAGAGUUAAGAAGGAGCAGGACUCAGUCGGUUAGGCGUCCCACUUCGGCUCAGGUCAUGAUGUCCCAGUUAUCGAGUUCAAGCCCCACAUCAGGCUCCGGGCUGACAGCUCGAGGCCUGGAGCCUGCUUCGGAUUCUGUGUCUCCUUCUCUCUCUGCACCCCCCCCCACCCCCACCCCACUGGUGCUCUGUGUCUGUCUCUCUCU
ensembl:lncRNA